CCUACGGGAGGCAGCAGUGGGGAAUAUUGCACAAUGGGGGAAACCCUGAUGCAGCGACGCCGCGUGAGUGAAGAAGUAAUUCGUUACGUAAAGCUCUAUCAGCAGGGAAGAAACACUGACCUUACGGUCAGCAGACGGUACCUGAGUAAGAAGCCCCGGUUAACUACGUGCCAGCAGCCGCGGUAAUACGUAGGGGGCAAGCGUUAUCCGGAUUUACUGGGUGGAAAGGGAGCGUAGACGGUGCGGCAAGUCUGGAGUGAAAUGCCGCAGCUUAACUGCGGAACUGCUUUGGAAACUGGCGAACUAGAGUGCGGGAGGGGUAAGCGGAAUUCCUAGUGUAGCGGUGAAAUGCGUAGAUAUUAGGAGGAACACCGGUGGCGAAGGCGGCUUACUGGACCGUAACUGACGUUGAGGCUCGAAAGCGUGGGGAGCAAACAGGAUUAGAUACCCCAGUAGUC
rnacentral:rRNA from 1 species